rnacentral:rRNA from 1 species
CUAAGGUAGCAUAGUCAUUUGUUGUUUAAUUGAUAACUGGAAUGAAAGGUUAAACUGGCUUAUUAAGUUUGUAAAAUUAAAUAGUAGAUUAAAGUUAAGGUAAGAAUGCUUUAAUUUUCUAGGGGACGAUAAGACCCUAGAAGCUUAACAAGAGGAGGGAUUUGUGUUAGAAGCUAGUUUGUUUUACUGGGGCGGUAAAAGUAGUUAAGCUAUUGGUUAUUUAAAAGAUCCUUUAAAUAAAGAAAGAAUGGGAAAGUUACUCUAGGGAUAA